CUGUUUCAUACUUAUACAAACUUCAGGACGCUUCUAUAACUAUGAAACAGAGAUUUUCUCCCAUUCCACUGUCCCCUCCCAGUGAUCCCAGCAGAUAACGUCCUUAAUGAUCUGUAUGAUUUCUAACGGCAGUGCCAUCUCAGCAGCUUGAUCAGACCACCAGUUACAGUUCGUCCUUUAAAUGGUCUUAUCGGUUUAGUUUGCUAGGAAACCUUCUGAAAAUGUCACAUGUUUUUUUUUUGUUUUUUUUCAAAGGUGACCUGAAUGCAGCAUCAUCAGUGUUUAUGAGAUGUGUCUGAGUCCAGGAGGCAGAUGUAUAAAAGAUCCGUAAACACAAAUCAUUAGACAGAAUCUAAUAAUACGCAAACAUUAUUCAUUUAGAUUGAACAGAACUGUUGUGUCAAUCACAGUUUAAUUAUUCCUUUUAUAUAUUUAAAGGUACUAUUGAUAACAUUGAAAACAUUCAGCCACUACAUGUUGCAUUCUCCCUCCCCCGUUCCGUUGCAUUCACUUCACAACAAGUGGUUGCCAGU